CCCGAGGUAGCUCAGACGGUAGAGCGCCUGGCCGAAGACCAGGGCGUCGCUGGUUCAAUCCCAGCCCUCGGGACCA
rnacentral:tRNA from 1 species